GACGAACGCUGGCGGCGUGCCUAAUACAUGCAAGUAGAACGCUGAAGAGAGGAGCUUGCUCUUCUUGGAUGAGUUGCGAACGGGUGAGUAACGCGUAGGUAACUUGCCUUGUAGCGGGGGAUAACUAUUGGAAACGAUAGCUAAUACCGCAUAACAAUGGAUGACACAUGUCAUUUAUUUGAAAGGGGCAAUUGCUCCACUACAAGAUGGACCUGCGUUGUAUUAGCUAGUAGGUGAGGUAAUGGCUCACCUAGGCGACGAUACAUAGCCGACCUGAGAGGGUGAUCGGCCACACUGGGACUGAGACACGGCCCAGACUCCUACGGGAGGCAGCAGUAGGGAAUCUUCGGCAAUGGGGGCAACCCUGACCGAGCAACGCCGCGUGAGUGAAGAAGGUUUUCGGAUCGUAAAGCUCUGUUGUAAGUCAAGAACGGGUGUGAGAGUGGAAAGUUCACACUGUGACGGUAGCUUACCAGAAAGGGACGGCUAACUACGUG
rnacentral:rRNA from 1 species